rnacentral:lncRNA from 1 species
AGGUUUCUAUUACCUUAGGUUCUCAAUCCAAAUUUAACUCAAGCUUCUAAGGUCUCUAUUACCUUAGUUCUUACUUUAUCAUUGGCUUAUAAGGUUUCCAUUAACCUAAUCAAGCUAACCACCGACUCGGCCUUGAGUGAAUCAUCCGCGGAUAGUCCGCGCACUGGCUGCUCAUCAGCCCGCCGCACCCUAUGACUUAGCCUCUUAGAGGCGAAGUCGUCGCACACGCUGAACUCGGAUCAAGCCCCUUGACUUGGCCAUCCGGCGGCGAACGAAUCGCAUCACACCCAACAAUGGCCCAAGUCGAUCUGGCGGCAUAAUCCACAAACUGGCUUAACCAUCCGGCGGCGAAAUCGUCGCACACGC